UUUUUUUUUUGCUGUCCACAUCCGCUUGUCUGAUACAGCAAUGGAGAUUAUCCUGGCAGUGGACUAACGUUCAACAUUUCUACUUGGUUAAAAAUUAUACUAGAAGCCAUGCAUUGCGUCAGCUAUCUGAAAACACAGAAGGGUGUUCAUUGCAUUCUUCAGUCUUGGAUUCUUUUGGUGUUGGGUCAAGGUUCAUGGAGUAUGACUCGGCUCAGGAACAUGGUGCCCAAUAUUUCCUUUCUUGAUGAUCAUCUGAGCUGGGGUGGGUGUGGCCUGCAUGUGAUCACCUGGCCUGCGGGCCACCAGUUUGACACCCCUGCUGUAGAUGUUACACAGAUAUAAAGAAGAUUCAAAAAGGACAUUAGUCAUUACUGCAUUUUCAUGAAAAUUAACAUCAACCUAACUAGAAAAAAACUUGCAGAAAUUUUCCAUUGUUUUUUAUGCACCAUUUGAUUUCAAAACCUUUGCUUUUGAUCAUGAUUGUAUCUUCAUAUAUGUGCUUUUUAAAAAAAAUCCGGAAUGUGCAUUUCUAUAUUGUACAUGCUCCUAAUUGAUAUGAAUCAGCAACGGUAUGUUGA
ensembl:lncRNA